GAUCCUGGCUCAGAAUCAACGCUGGCGGCGUGCCCAUCACAUGCAAGUCGAACGCGAAAGGGGAGCAAUCCCUGAGUAGAGUGGCAAACGGGUGAGUAACACGUGGGUGACCUGCCUUCGAGUGGGGGAUAACGUUCCGAAAGGAACGCUAAUACCGCAUGACAUCCUGCUUUUGGAAAAGCGGAGAUCAAAGCUGGGGAUUCGCAAGAACCUAGCGCUUGAAGAGGGGCCCGCGCCUGAUUAGCUAGUUGGUGAGGUAACGGCUCACCAAGGCUACGAUCAGUAUCCGGCCUGAGAGGGCGGACGGACACACUGGGACUGAGACACGGCCCAGACUCCUACGGGAGGCAGCAGUGGGGAAUUGUUCGCAAUGGGCGCAAGCCUGACGACGCAACGCCGCGUGGAGGAUGAAGAUUUUCGGAUCGUAAACUCCUGUCGAGUGGGAAGAAUAGCCUGGGGGCGAAUAUCCCCGAGGUCUGACGGUACCACUAAAGGAAGCCCCGGCUAACUCCGUGCCAGCAGCCGCGGUAAUACGGGGGGGGCAAGCGUUGUUCGGAAUUACUGGGCGUAAAGGGCUCGUAGGCGGCCAACUAAGUCAGACGUGAAAUCCCCAGGCUCAACCUGGGAACUGCGUCUGAUACUGGAUGGCUUGAAUUCGGGAGAGGGAUGCAGAAUUCCAGGUGUAGCGGUGAAAUGCGUAGAUAUCUGGAGGAAUACCGGUGGCGAAGGCGGCAUCCUGGACCG
rnacentral:rRNA from 1 species